CAGCAGCCGCGGGAAUACGAAGGGGGCUAGCGUUAUUCGGAGUUACUGGGCGUAAAGGGCGCGUAGGCGGCCAUUCAAGUUAGAUGUGAAAGCCCUGGGCUCAACCUAGGAAUUGCAUUUGAUACUGUUUGGCUUGAGUUCGGGAGAGGUGAGUGGAAUUCCCAGUGUAGAGGUGAAAUUCGUAGAUAUUGGGAAGAACACCAGUGGCGAAGGCGGCUCACUGGACUGGUAUUGACGCUGAGGUGCGAAAGCGUGGGGAGCAAACAGGAUUAGAGACCCGAGUAGUCCCUGUCUCUUAUAC
rnacentral:rRNA from 1 species